rnacentral:rRNA from 1 species
AGGAUGAACGCUGGCGGCGUGCUUAACACAUGCAAGUCGAACGAACCUUCGGGUUAGUGGCGGACGGGUGAGUAACGCGUGAGAAUCUGCCCUCAGGAGGGGGAUAACGGUUGGAAACGACCGCUAAUACCCCAUAUGCCGCGAGGUGAAAUGAAUUUCGCCUGAGGAUGAGCUCGCGUCUGAUUAGCUAGUUGGUGGGGUAAAGGCCUACCAAGGCAUCGAUCAGUAGCUGGUCUGAGAGGAUGAUCAGCCACACUGGGACUGAGACACGGCCCAGACUCCUACGGGAGGCAGCAGUGGGGAAUUUUCCGCAAUGGGCGAAAGCCUGACGGAGCAACGCCGCGUGAGGGAUGAAGGCCUCUGGGCUGUAAACCUCUUUUAUCAAGGAAGAAGAUCUGACGGUACUUGAUGAAUAAGCCACGGCUAAUUCCGUGCCAGCAGCCGCGGUAAUACGGGAGUGGCAAGCGUUAUCCGGAAUUAUUGGGCGUAAAGCGUCCGCAGGCGGCCCUUCAAGUCUGCUGUUAAAAAGUGGAGCUUAACUCCAUCAUGGCAGUGGAAACUGUUGGGCUUGAGUGUGGUAGGGGCAGAGGGAAUUCCCGGUGUAGCGGUGAAAUGCGUAGAUAUCGGGAAGAACACCAGUGGCGAAGGCGCUCUGCUGGGCCAUCACUGACGCUCAUGGACGAAAGCCAGGGGAGCGAAAGGGAUUAGAUACCCCUGUAGUCCUGGCCGUAAACGAUGAACACUAGGUGUCGGGGGAAUCGACCCCCUCGGUGUCGUAGCCAACGCGUUAAGUGUUCCGCCUGGGGAGUACGCACGCAAGUGUGAAACUCAAAGGAAUUGACGGGGGCCCGCACAAGCGGUGGAGUAUGUGGUUUAAUUCGAUGCAACGCGAAGAACCUUACCAGGGUUUGACAUCCUGCGAAUCUCUUGGAAACGAGAGAGUGCCUUCGGGAACGCAGUGACAGGUGGUGCAUGGCUGUCGUCAGCUCGUGUCGUGAGAUGUUGGGUUAAGUCCCGCAACGAGCGCAACCCACGUCUUUAGUUGCCAGCAUUUAGUUGGGCACUCUAGAGAGACCGCCGGUGAUAAACCGGAGGAAGGUGUGGAUGACGUCAAGUCAUCAUGCCCCUUACAUCCUGGGCUACACACGUACUACAAUGCUACGGACAAAGGGCAGCAAGUUCGCGAGGACAAGCAAAUCCCAUAAACCGUGGCUCAGUUCAGAUCGUAGGCUGCAACUCGCCUACGUGAAGGAGGAAUCGCUAGUAAUCGCAGGUCAGCAUACUGCGGUGAAUACGUUCCCGGGCCUUGUACACACCGCCCGUCACACCAUGGAAGUUGGCCACGCCCGAAGCCGUUACUCCAACCCUCGGGAGGAGGACGUCGAAGGUGGGGCUGAUGACUGGGGUGAAGUCGUAACA